rnacentral:rRNA from 1 species
AUUGAACGCUGGCGGCAUGCCUAACACAUGCAAGUCGAACGGCAGCACAGCAUGUAGCAAUACAUGUGGGUGGCGAGUGGCGGACGGGUGAGUAACGCGUGGGAAUCUGCCCUAUAGUGGGGGACAACCCGACGAAAGUCGGGCUAAUACCGCAUACGCCCUACGGGGAAAGGCUUCGGCCGCUAUUGGAUGAGCCCGCGUCGGAUUAGCUAGUUGGUGAGGUAAUGGCUCACCAAGGCGACGAUCCGUAGCUGGUCUGAGAGGACGAUCAGCCACACUGGGACUGAGACACGGCCCAGACUCCUACGGGAGGCAGCAGUGGGGAAUAUUGCAUAAUGGGCGAAAGCCUGAUGCAGCAAUGCCGCGUGUGUGAAGAAGGCCUGCGGGUUGUAAAGCACUUUCGGUAGGGAAGAUUAUGACGGUACCUACAGAAGAAGCACCGGCUAACUCCGUGCCAGCAGCCGCGGUAAU